UACGUAGGUGGCGAGCGUUGUCCGGAUUUACUGGGCGUAAAGAGCGCGCAGGCGGUCGUUCAAGUCGCGUGUGAAAGCCCCCGGCUCAACUGGGGAGGGUCACGCGAUACUGAUCGACUCGAAGGCAGGAGAGGGUAGUGGAAUUCCCGGUGUAGUGGUGAAAUGCGUAGAUAUCGGGAGGAACACCAGUGGCGAAGGCGGCCUUCUGGACCAGCACUGACACUCAAGCACGAAAGCGUGGGGAGCAAACAGG
rnacentral:rRNA from 1 species